UACGUAGGGGGCUAGCGUUGUCCGGAAUCAUUGGGCGUAAAGCGCGCGUAGGCGGCCCGGUAAGUCCGCUGUAAAAGUCAAAGGCUCAACCUUUGAAUGUCAGUGGAUACUGCCGGGCUAGAGUCCGGAAGAGGCGAGUGGAAUUCCUGGUGUAGCGGUGGAAUGCGCAGAUAUCAGGAGGAACACCAACGGCGAAGGCAGCUCGCUAGGACGGUACUGACGCUGAGACGCGAAAGCGUGGGGAGCGAACAGG
rnacentral:rRNA from 1 species